rnacentral:rRNA from 1 species
UGGGGGAUAUUGCACAAUGGGCGAAAGCCUGAUGCAGCGACGCCGCGUGGGGGAUGAAGGCCUUCGGGUUGUAAACUUCUUUUGCUCUGAACAAGGCGCACCAUGGGGUGUGUUGAGUGUAGGGGUUGAUUAGCGCCGGCUAACUACGUGCCAGCAGCCGCGGUAAUACGUAGGGCGCGAGCGUUGUCCGGAAUUAUUGGGCGUAAAGGGCUUGUAGGUGGCUGGUUGCGUCUGUCGUGAAAGCUCAUGGCUUAACUGUGGGUUUGCGGUGGGUACGGGCUGGCUUGAGUGCAGUAGGGGAGGCUGGAAUUCCUGGUGUAGCGGUGGAAUGCGCAGAUAUCAGGAGGAAUACCGGUGGCGAAGGCGGGUCUCUGGGCUGUUACUGACACUGAGGAGCGAAAGAAUGGGGAGCGAACAGG